AUAUAUCUCCUGGGAGACCUAACUACCCCCUAGUUGAGAACCACUGCUCUAAACCUAAACAACUACUCUUUCUACUGUGAGGGCAAGCAGUUUAAAGCUGUACAAUAAGUUACCUGAAGUGGGUUUACAGAGUUGUGAAACUAUAUGAUUUAUUUUUCAAAGACUGCUGAUCUACUCACGUGGAUCUGUAUUUUCUACCCUGUAGAUCGAAGAUUUAUCCCAGCAAGCACAACUAGCAGCUGCUGAGAAAUUCAAAGUUCAAGGUGAAGCUGUCUCAAACAUUCAAGAAAACACACAGACUCCAACUGUACAAGAGGAGAGUGAAGAGGAAGAGGUCGAUGAAACAGGUGUAGAAGUUAAGGACAUAGAAUUGGUCAUGUCACAAGCAAAUGUGUCGAGAGCAAAGGCAGUCCGAGCCCUGAAGAACAACAGUAAUGAUAUUGUAAAUGCGAUUAUGGUAAGUGUUCAAGCCUUUGUUCCUUGACUCCCUCUGCCCUGACCAGUUAUGAGUGACUUAUUUUCUCUUGCUAAAUAUCAGCCAAUUAGGGAACCUCAUUCCAGAGCCUCUUCUGAGUUGCCGUAUAGGUUUUAGUGGCCU
rnacentral:sRNA from 1 species